GAUGAACGCUGGCGGCGUGCCUAAUACAUGCAAGUCGAGCGAAGCGGGGACGGGUGAGUAAGAAGUGGGUAACCUCCUAUAAGACUGGGAUAACUUCGGGAAACCGGAGCUAAACCGACAAAUUAUCGAUGGAUCCGUGCUGCAUUUGCUAGUUGGUAAGGUAACGGCUGACCAAGGCAACGAUGCAUAGCCGACCUGAGAGGGGGAUCGGCCACACUGGAACUGAGACACGGUCCAGACUCCUACGGGAGGCAGCAGGAUGGAAUCGUACGCAAUGGGCGAAAGCCUGACGGGGCAACGCCGCGUGAGUGAUGAAGGUCUUCGGAUCGUAAAACUCUGUUAUUAGGGAAGCGGUACCUAAUCAGAAAGCCACGGCUAACUACGUGCCAGCAGCCGCGGUAAUAC
rnacentral:rRNA from 1 species